GUGGGGAAUCUUCCGCAAUGGACGAAAGUCUGACGGAGCAACGCCGCGUGAGUGAAGAAGGUCUUCGGAUCGUAAAGCUCUGUUGUAUGGGACGAAUGUUGGAGGCGUGAAUAAUGCCAUCAAAUGACGGUACUGUACGAGGAAGCCACGGCUAACUACGUGCCAGCAGCCGCGGUAAUACGUAGGUGGCGAGCGUUGUCCGGAAUUAUUGGGCGUAAAGGGAGCGCAGGUGGGAAGGUAAGUCUGUUUUAAAAGCGUCGGGCUCAACCCGAUGAGGGAACAGAAACUAUUUUUCUUGAGUGCAGGAGAGGAAAGCGGAAGUCCUAGUGUAGCGGUGAAAUGCGUAGAUAUUAGGAGGAACACCAGUGGCGAAGGCGGCUUCCUGGCACAAUACUGACGCUCAUGUGCGAAAGCUAGGGCAGCGAACGGGAUUAGAAACCCUAGUAGUCC
rnacentral:rRNA from 1 species